rnacentral:rRNA from 1 species
UACGAAGGGGGCUAGCGUUGCUCGGAAUCACUGGGCGUAAAGCGCACGUAGGCGGAUUGUUAAGUCGGGGGUGAAAUCCUGGAGCUCAACUCCAGAACUGCCUUCGAUACUGGCGAUCUUGAGUCCGGGAGAGGUGAGUGGAACUCCGAGUGUAGAGGUGAAAUUCGUAGAUAUCUGGAGGAACACCGGUGGCGAAGGCGGCAUCCUGGACCAACACUGACGCUGAGGAGCGAAAGCCAGGGGAGCAAACGGG